rnacentral:tRNA from 2 species
AGCAUUCAAAAUUCUUGCUAUGACAUCAUCUUUGAUAAUUCUUGAGGUAAAAUGAGAUCUA